GGGCCCGCACAAGCAGCGGAGCGUGUGGUUUAAUUCGAUGAUACACGAAGAACCUUACCAGGGUUUGACAUACAAGUGGUAGUGAAGCGAAAGCAGAACGACCCUUCGGGGAGCUUGAACAGGUGCUGCAUGGCUGUCGUCAGCUCGUGUCGUGAGAUGUUCGGUUAAGUCCGCUAACGAGCGCAACCCUUGUUGUGUGUUACACGUAUCACGCAAGACCGCCGGUAGAAAGCCGGAGGAAGGUGGGGAUGACGUCAAGUCAGCAUGGCCUAUAUAUCCUGGGCUACACACACGCUACAAUGGUCGGUACAAUGGGUAGCUAAGCCGCGAGGCGGAGCCAAUCCUAAAAAGCCGGUCUCAGUUCAGAUUGCAGGCUGCAACUCGCCUGCAUGAAGAUGGAGUUGCUAGUAACCGCAGGUCAGCGAUACUGCGGUGAAUACGUUCCCGGGCCUU
rnacentral:rRNA from 1 species